UCAUAGGAAGGUCUUUGAGAAAGGAUAUCCAGUUCAUUACAUCUUUUCCAUUUAGAACUAGACCAAAACCAUGACCAGCAGUAAGAAUCCAAACAGUUUUUAAAACUCCCCAUGGCAGAAACUGGCUAGAUAUUCACCAGAUACAUUUCCUCUUCCUAUGCACCCAGAUAAACUAUAUUUCCCCACUCACUUGCCCUUAGAAGUGGGGCCAUAUGACCAGUUCUUGUGAAUGAUAUGUGAGAAGGGAUGUGCCACUGCCCCACCAAGGCAGUUAGGAGGGCUGCACCUUCCCCACGUGCUCUCUCUUUCCCCCUGUCUGCUACCUGGAUGAUGCCAGGGUACCUUUGAGGUGACACACUGGAGAGAGCAGAGCCACAGCAUGGAAGGAGCUGAUCUUUAAAGGACUGUGCACAGAAGACCUUUCCCACACAAUGAAAUGCUCAGCCCCACCUCCCACCACUGACUGCAUUGAUGUUCAAGCAAAGAUGUCAGCAUAACAAUCCCAAUGCCAAACAUCAUUUCUGUAACCACGCCUUUUGACUUCUGUAUCGAUUGUGAGCAGUCUCUGCGUCAGAACCAUCGUCGAUGUGAUGAUCACCUCAGAUUUUUUCUAGGCUUUCCUGGCCAAGAGAGUGGUUCUCGGUCACCUUACUCCUUUGUCAGCUCCACUCUCCCCAGGUCCUGAUCUUGGAUAUCUUCCUGGAUUAUCUGAAUCACCAACCACGCUGGCCCAGGAAUGUGCCUCAGGAGGACUGUCUUGUCUACGAACUUGUUGGACGUGUGUAAAUUUGAUCACCACGACCUUGACUUGGAAGAACCAGAUUGCAGGCUCCACGCGACAGCAGACGGUGGCAGCAACUCGGAACUUAAUCUCUGAAUUCUAACUUGGGCCCAGUCAAGAGCGUCUGUCACUCUUAGAAACUUCAGCAAAACACUCCUAGUGUCUCAUGGGCUCCUUUGGGGUCGGUCACCCAUCCAUAAACCAACCACGACAGCCAAGGGAAUGGAAGGCUUGGCCAGGACGGAAUCACCUGACUCCACGUUCCAGGGCCCGAGGGAACCCACUGCGCGAGAGCUAUGUGGACUGAGGAUUCUGACCAGGAACGACGCCAAAACAAAGUGGCAGGGCUGUGUCUACAACAGGGGAGUUCAGAUGCCAGGCCACAACUCGGUUGUCCACUCUACAGCCUCACUUCUCCUCCAGGCUGGUUCUCCAUCUUACUAACACUAUCACCACUUUUUUGGGAUUACUUUUGACUUUUUCUCUUGUUUGAUCCCCAUACUUAUUUGGUCACCUGUAUAUGGUCGUGGGUGAGUGAAGUCUGAGUGGCGACUUCAGAGUAAAUGAGUGGCGACUUCAGGUGGGUAAAUCCCACCUCUGCUCUUUCCUAGCUGUAUAAAUUUGGGCAAGUUUACUACUCUUUGCCUAGUCUCCCCAUCUAAUAAAGUCUGCGUGUUAACAGGACCCUCUUCAUAGGGUUGCUGUGAGAAGUAAAUAAGCCAAUUCACAUAAAGCACUUAGACAAUAUCUGGCACAUAAAAACCAUUCUAUGCAUAUUAGCUAUUACUGUUAUGAUUAUUAUUCCCCCUCCACUUGGCACAGAGGUCAUAAAGAUUAAUAAUGGGGACACUUUAGCACAUGCUUAUUGGUUCCUGCGUGGUCCCACACUGCUUUUCCCGCUUUAUUUUCUGUUAUGUUCCAAUGUGGAGUUACUCUGGGAGGCUCCUUUCUUCUUUUCCUCGUAUUCCCUGUAUUCCUUAUUUUCAGCUUCUCUAUUUUGUUCAGUCUAUUCAUUUUUCCUGAGAUGCUCCUGCUUGUAUGUCUGGGUUUACCGUGGUUUGUGUUGGUGUUUAGAUUUCUUUUGCUUUGUUAGAGGUGCAGGCUAA
ensembl:lncRNA